GUCCCGCCUGCCCUGUGACUAUAUGUUUAACGGCCGCGGUAUUUUGACCGUGCGAAGGUAGCGCAAUCACUUGUCUUUUAAAUGAAGCCCUGUAUGAAUGGCACGACGAGGGCCUAGCUGUCUCCUUUUUCAGGUCAAUGAAAUUGAUCUCCCCGUGCAGAAGCGGGGAUAAUCUCAUAAGACGAGAAGACCCUAUGGAGCUUCAGACACAAGGCAGCCCACGUUAAUAACUUUCAAACAAAAACUAAAACUAAGUGGAGCCCUGCCAGAAUGUCUUUGGUUGGGGCGACCGCGGGGGAAAACAAAGCCCCCAUGUGGAAAAGGAGGACACCUCCUACAACCCAGAGCCACUGCUCUAAGUAACAGAACUUCUGACCAAUAUGAUCCGGCAACCGCCGAUCAACGGACCGAGUUACCCUAGGGAUAACAGCGCAAUCCUCUUCCAGAGCCCAUAUCGACAAGAGGGUUUACGACCUCGAUGUUGGAUCAGGACAUCCUAAUGGUGCAGCCGCUAUUAA
rnacentral:rRNA from 1 species